ACAAAUGUGAAGAGGAACCGGGGGUUGCAAGGUUCUGUAGGAAGAGCGAUGUAGCCUCGGCCACACGGAGAUGAAAGAGCCACAUUUUCCUAAAGUGGAAAAAGAUUGGUAAACUGCAUGCAGACAGGAAGAACACAGGAGUUAUCUCCAAACCAAUGCCCUCCAAAUGAAGGAAGUAUUGCGACUGUAUUUUGGAGGAAUCUAUAUUAAUUUAAGAAUGCAUUUUAUGGGAUGUAAAAAUUCUUUCUGGCUUUGGAGUUUCAUGACAAAAGGUGAAAGGUGUGGUGCAGAGGUCAGGGCAGUUGCCUGAAAUGAAGACCUGAGUUCCAUUGCCUGAAUCCACAAGAUGGAAAGGACUUGACCCUCCACAUCCACAGGGGUGCUAUGGCAUGCAUCUCCCCACAACCCUGCAAAAUAAUACAUGUAAAACAUUUUUUUUG
rnacentral:lncRNA from 1 species